GAGCUGCUCUGAAAUGAGAAUACACCACCGUGGCAAAGCGGAUUGUGAUUUUCAACAGCGCACAGCUAGUUUUUAGUGGAUUUCCAUGACUACACCUUCUACCCACAAUUCAAUUUGAUAAUUCAACACAUAUUUACUGAACAUAUAACAGGCAAGUGUGAGGUGCUAGCAGUUUAAAACCUAAGAAGACAAGGUCUUUUGUCUCAAGGGCCACAUUCCAGGGAGAAGACAGACAAGUAGAGAGAAGAAGGCCACGCGAUGAAGGUCAUGGUCAAAGUAACAGCAGAUCACGCUCCCGGAGUACAUCCUAGAUGUCACGUGUCACUGCAUGCCAUAGGACAGAAGUCAAUGGGAAAUCCUGAACAGACACAGCCAAGUGACAAGGGAGAAUCGUGCCAAUUACCAACGACCAGUUCCUUCAGAGCGGUCCCUGAAGUUGGCCCUGGUCACAGGAGCAUUUCUUCAGCUUGCAGAGUCCUUAGAGGGGCAGGGUCAGAUAUGGAGGGGAUUCUGAACGGUCAAAGCCAGAGACAGGAGGGGCCAUGUGGUGACCACAGUGUCUGCACUACAGGAAGGAACCACAGCAGGCCAUCCUGCGAAUCCUCCAUCCUGCAGCCUAGAGGAGCUCAACACCCAGCACCAGGUGACAGAGCCCUUCAGGACAGGACAUUAGGGCUGAGAAGCCCAGCUGAAGCUGAGUGUCAUCUAGCCAGGGCUCUUGUGCCAGGGACAGGCUGCUGUGCUUGAUCCUGGGUUUGCUGGUGCUCAAGUCUUUGCCCCCCAGGGGAUCAGAGGUGAGUGGUGCAAGCAGUGCUGGGAAGGCUGCUGCCACCCGGUGGUGCCACCAGAGCCUGCCUGGGCUCCAGCUGUGAAGUGAGGUUCCAGGGGUGGGAGGUGAGGGACACAGAAUAGCUAGACUUGGGAAGGUUUUGCAAGAAAAUCAUAGUCUAGUGUUGAUGUGGCAGUUACUGAUUUCGGCAGGAGGAAGCAUAAUGCUUGUGGAGCCUCCAGACCUGCCAGGUGCGGACCUUCCCCUGGCCACGUCAGGUCUACAGGGCCCAUGAGUCCGGUGAGCGGACUGCUGCAAUCUCAAAAAUGGAUAAUCCCAAACCCUGAGCACCAGCUUCUUCCUCAAUUAUUUACAAGGAACACGAUGUGGUACAAAGAAAUCUAAUUCAUAAUGUCUCUUUAAUGCCUUUGUAACACAAUAUUCACAAUAUUCCCUUCUAAUCUCAGCAGAUGACAAGUUGCCACUAUUGAAUUUCCAUUAAUAUGAAAUAUUGGUACAAUAUAUUUUGCCCA